CCUCCCUCCCGCGCAGGGGACGUGCGCCUCUGGGCGAAUUUCCUGGUGGCCCUGGGAGGCGUGGAAAAGGCGGGAGCGCGGCCAGCGCCCGCCCGCCCGGAGACCCCGGAGCCCGAGGAGGCCGCCCUCGAACCCCGGCCACGCUCCGUCGGGGCGGCGCGCACCUGCCCGGCGCCUGUGUUUGUAAACAAACCGCGCGCCUAAUUAGCGUGGCGGGGGCGCGCGCGGGAGGCGGGGGCGGGGCGUCGGCGCGCGCGCUGGGGUGGCCCCGCCCGGGGAGGAGCCGCGCUCGGCCGCGCCCCCGUCUACCCACCACCUCCGGCCCUCCGCCUCCCUCCCGCCCCACCGCGCGCGGAGGCCCGGGCGUCCAAGUUUGCUGUUGUGGGAGAGGGCUCCAAGUUCCCAGAGCUGGCGAGGAGCAAGGGAUGUUCCCGGCUCUGCCUGGAGACCUCGCCCCAGCCUCAGUUUCCCCAUCUGCCCAGUGAGGGGCAGGAAUGAGAUCAACGGUCCCUAGCCUGAGGUUCCAGGAGUGUGCCACAAAGGACAUUGAGCCCGAAGGACUGAGGGCCACGAGAAGGAAUGAGGAGCGAGGACGUCGGAGAACUUGUGGGUCACCGCAGACGAGCAGGGACUAAAAGCACGGGAGACGGCGGGGAGAGACGCGGGCUGACCCCACGGCCCAGGCUCCCCCUGCCUCAGGCACUGAACCCCCCAGAUGCUGGGCGCGAGGUCUCCCCACGUGAAGACGUUUCCCAGCCUCCCUGGCGCUGGGCGCGGUCGGCGGGACAGGAGUAGACCCGGAGAGGGGCCCUCCAGCUGCCGGAAUGGCCCAGGUGGCCGCCAUCUUGACGUGACUAGAAGCCACCCGUUGCGCUUGCUCUGCCCUCUGCAGGAGAGGGGGACCCCCCACCCCACCAGCCCUGGCAUGGCCCCUGGACCUUGUUUCCACGGGAGGGAAAUACAGUGUGGUUCUGUUUACCGGGUGUCGAUUUGGGCUUCUACCCUCCAACUGACAGGAACCCCCACUGAUCUAACAAGAGAGACGGGGGCGGGGAGGCGAGCGGGGCAUCCUGACUUCUCCACGCUCAGGGGGACCGAGAGCCA
rnacentral:lncRNA from 1 species